rnacentral:rRNA from 1 species
CGCUGGCGGCGUGCCUAACACAUGCAAGUCGAACGGGGUGAUUUCCUUCGGGGGAUCACUUAGUGGCGAACGGGUGAGUAACGCGUGAGGAACCUGCCUUUCGAGUGGGGGACAACAGUUGGAAACGACUGCUAAUACCGCAUAACAUACACGGACCGCAUGAUCUGUGUAUCAAAGCUUUAUGUGCUGAAAGAUGGCCUCGCGUCUGAUUAGCUAGUUGUGGGGUAACGGCCCACCAAGGCGACGAUCAGUAGCCGGUCUGAGAGGAUGAACGGCCACAUUGGGACUGAGAUACGGCCCAGACUCCUACGGGAGGCAGCAGUGGGGAAUAUUGGGCAAUGGGGGAAACCCUGACCCCAGCAACGCCGCGUGAAGGAAGAAGGCCUUCGGGUUGUAAACUUCUUUUAGCAGGGACGAAUACGUGACGGUACCUGCAGAAAAAGCAACGGCUAACUACGUG